rnacentral:rRNA from 1 species
UACGGAGGGUGCAAGCGUUGUCCGGAAUCACUGGGCGUAAAGGGCGCGUAGGCGGCUCAUGAAGGCUGUGGUGAAAGUCCGGGGCUCAACCUCGGAUCGGCCGUGGCGACUCGUGGGCUGGAGCACUGUAGAGGCGGGUGGAAUUCCGGGUGUAGCGGUGGAAUGCGUAGAGAUCCGGAAGAACACCAGUGGUGAAGGCGGCCCGCUGGGCAGUGGCUGACGCUGAGGCGCGACAGCGUGGGGAGCAAACAGG